AAUGGGGGAAACCCUGAUGCAGCAACGCCGCGUGAAGGAAGACGUAUUUCGGUAUGUAAACUUCUAUCAGCAGGGAAGAUAAUGACGGUACCUGACUAAGAAGCCCCGGCUAACUACGUGCCAGCAGCCGCGGUAAUACGUAGGGGGCAAGCGUUAUCCGGAUUUACUGGGUGUAAAGGGAGCGUAGGCGGCGAUGCAAGUCAGAAGUGAAAGCCCGGGGCUCAACCGCGGGACUGCUUUUGAAACUGUGUUGCUAGAUUGCAGGAGAGGUAAGUGGAAUUCCUAGUGUAGCGGUGAAAUGCGUAGAUAUUAGGAGGAACACCAGUGGCGAAGGCGGCUUACUGGACUGUAAAUGACGCUGAGGCUCGAAAGCGUGGGGAGCAAA
rnacentral:rRNA from 1 species